AGCAGUAGCCGCGGUAAUACGUGGGUGGCAAGCGUUAUCCGGAAUUAUUGGGCGUAAAGCGCGCGUAGGUGGUUUUUUAAGUCUGAUGUGAAAGCCCACGGCUCAACCGUGGAGGGUCAUUGGAAACUGGAAAACUUGAGUGCAGAAGAGGAAAGUGGAAUUCCAUGUGUAGCGGUGAAAUGCGCAGAGAUAUGGAGGAACACCAGUGGCGAAGGCGACUUUCUGGUCUGUAACUGACGCUGAUGUGCGAAAGCGUGUGGAUCAAACAGGAUUAGAUACCCCUGUAGUCCCUGUCUCUUAUAA
rnacentral:rRNA from 1 species